CUUGGGGAAAAUACGUUGAAUUCCUCCUCAAAAUCUCGUCGAAGGUUAAGUUACUCUAAAUUAACUCAGCGGCAAUAUUGGGAAUUAAUAACACCCUCCUCCGUCGCGAGGCGGCAUUGAUACCCAAUCAGGGCCAAGAACACCAUGGAAACAAAGGGUCCAAUCAAACGAAGCCUCCAAGGGCUUCCUGCGCGUUGAGUGGAUACAGCGGGGAUGAUGUCACUCCCACAUAGCGCUCCCGCUGAGCGCGAGAAUGUAUGUGACGCGCGAGCUCGAGUGAAGCUCAGCAGUUCAUUAAGAGAGCUGGAUAAACUGUGAUGUUUCCUCCCAUUGUCCACAUUGUCCUUUGUUACUUGUUGUUCUUGUGGGCUUUCGCAAAGUACACGCUUUUUCGGGCGGCUUCCAAAACUCUCAAGUGGUAUUAGUGCAGUGUAGUGUUAAAGCCGCGGCACCACAGCACUUUCCUUCAGUCAGUGUGUUGUGCGAACAGGCUCUUUAUUUCGCUUUCGUUUCUGGGAAACUGGGAAACUGGGAAACUAGGAACUGCUUCGUAAGGGGCAUGAACGUGUGAUGGGUGGACACUCGGUAUCAACAGAAGAUCAGAAUGUUGGGUCUUUUAGGAAUUGCUGGGAUAAUCUUAAUAAUAGCGGAUGCCCAGGCCGUGGAGCACCUGAGCAUCUCUCUCCACUGCACAGCCGGGUCCGCAUCCCUCUUUCUGCGGUCCGCGCACCAUCUCUACCUCGCGCUUCGGCCCCCCGCCACCUGUCUGCUUCAGGCCAUGCAAGACCAUCUCUCGAGGCUCUACGGAGGAAGAGCCAUACCGCGCGACAUCCCCUGGGUGCAGAACAGCGCUCAUGAUCUUGAGGAGUGUGUCUUCCAGCUCCUCCACUCGGCAUUGCUGCUGGCUGCAGCACUCCUGCACUUCCUCCUGGGGGCGCUCUACUCUCUUAUAUCAUUUGCACACUCCGGGCACACGAUGUUUGCACAGGGAUGCAUAGUGAUAUUUUGCUGCAUAAGCAUGGAGUUGGCAUUAUGUUAUUAUAAGCUCGUGCAUCAUAUUUCCUACUUGACCUAAAUCAUGCUGUCUGGCGUCCUCCAGUACUGCGCGCAAAACUGCCGACUAAUACAGAUCCUGCUGUCUUUCUCUCGGAAGAACACCGACAGUUAUAUAUCUGAGGUGUUUGGUUGUUUUUUGUAUAACGGUUUAUGGUUAUAAUAACCAAACAAACACAAAACAAAGAUAUCGGAACGUGUGUGUUCAAUAACAAUCUAGGACAGUUCAUUAUCAUCACCUCAGGCAACACAUUACAUUAUUUUACAUUAUUCUUUACACCUUUCUAUCGUAGAUUACUGCACAGCCUAUACACACCCGUGCAUAAAUUAAUGAAAAUACUUAAAAUACAUACAGUAUAUAUGGUCUUUUUAUAUUCUUAAUUUUAAAACGUCACACGCGAUCUACUUUAAUGAGCAAAUGACAUGUUAAAUUGUAACUGUUUAGACGAAAAAUGACAAAUCCCCUAGUUAUGUAUAAUUUGACUUAAUUUGAAAUUAUUAUUCUCCCCUAUUGCCAACAAUGACUUACCCAUCUGUGGUUCUUCCGAUUUACAUUGAUUUAUAUGGAAUAGAUGAUGCUGAAAGCAGAUGGGUUUAACACUAAACGCGCUUUCAUCUCCGUUUAACAUCAGAAUUAAAGGUUCUCGCAAAUGUCGAAAAGGGACAGUUCCUCUAGUUCCUGAGCCUGAUUUGAGAAAAAGGGUCCGAGAGGAAUGGUUAAGUCAGCACCAUAUAACAAUGUUUCCUUAUGUUACAGAAGCAAUCGCAAAUUCAGAGUCAACGCCCACACACACACAAACACACACCAUCUGAAACCACUUGUCCCAUACAGGGUCGCGGGGAGCCGGAGCCUAACCCGGCAACACAGGACAUAAAGCCGGAGGGGGAGGGGACACACCCAGGACGGGACCCCAGUCCAUCGCAAGGCACCCUAAGCAGGACUCGAACCCCAGACCCACCGGAGAGCAGGACCCGGUUCAACCCACUGCAACCCCCCCCAGACUCACCUUAUCGGUUACAAAUUGCAAUUAUGAUAUUUAAAAUCCUCCGUGAAGGUAACCAAGUCUCCUUUGAGCUGAGGAAGGGCAACUUUACAGGAGAAAUGUUCUGAAAGUAAAACCGCACACAGGAACGAAUAUAUACAGUAUAUAUACAGUAUACAGCAGCAAAAUACGAGUAUAGAGUAUCGAGUAUCAGUGCAAGAGCGACCCUUUGCUGUCAUAUGACACAACCCUAACACUUAAAUCUGGUUGCAUUCAUCCAGGACAGUGUGUGUUAAAGACGCUAACAACGACUACAUCAACUGUACAAAGACACAUUCUUGGAAUAAAUGUGUGCAGCUACAAUAUCA
ensembl:lncRNA